rnacentral:rRNA from 1 species
AGCGAACGCUGGCGGCAGGCCUAACACAUGCAAGUCGAACGAAGUCUUCGGACUUAGUGGCGGACGGGUGAGUAACACGUGGGAACGUACCUUUUGGUACGGAACAACUCAGGGAAACUUGAGCCACUACCGGAUGAGCCCUUAGGGGGAAAGAUUUAUCGCCGAAAGAGCGGCCCGCGUUAGAUUAGCUCGUUGGUGAGGUAAAAGCUCACCAAGGCUACGAUCUAUAGCUGGUCUGAGAGGAUGAUCAGCCACACUGGGACUGAGACACGGCCCAGACUCCUACGGGAGGCAGCAGUGGGGAAUCUUGCGCAAUGGGCGAAAGCCUGACGCAGCCAUACCGCGUGAAUGAUGAAGGUCUUAGGAUUGUAAAAUUCUUUUACCAGGGACGAUAAUGACGGUACCUGGAGAAAAAGCCCCGGCUAACUUCGUGCCAGCCGCCGCAGUAAUAC